UGGGGAAUAUUGGACAAUGGGGGCAACCCUGAUCCAGCGAUGCCGCGUGUGUGAAGAAGGCCUGAGGGUUGUAAAGCACUUUUGUUGGGGAGGAUUGCUGUUGGCUUAAUAGGCUAAGCAGUUGACGUUACCCAAAGAAUAAGCACCGGCUAACUCUGUGCCAGCAGCCGCGGUAAUACAGAGGGUGCGAGCGUUAAUCGGAAUUAUUGGGCGUAAAGGGCGCGUAGGCGGGAGUAUAAGUCAGAUGUGAAAUACCUGGGCUCAACCUGGGAACUGCAUUUGAUACUGUACUGUCUAGAGUGGAGUAGAGGGCAGUGGAAUUUCCGGUGUAGCGGUGAAAUGCGUAGAUAUCGGAAAGAACACCAGUGGCGAAGGCGACUGCCUGGACUCCAACUGACGCUGAGGCGCGAAAGCGUGGGGAGCGAACAGGAUUAGAUACCCUUGUAGUCCCUGAGCGGGCUGGCAAGGCGCAU
rnacentral:rRNA from 1 species